GACGAACGCUGGCGGCGUGCUUAACACAUGCAAGUCGAACGGAAAGGCCCUGCUUUUGUGGGGUGCUCGAGUGGCGAAUGGGUGAGUAACACGUGAGUAACCUGCCCUUGACUUUGGGAUAACUUCAGGAAACUGGGGCUAAUACCGGAUAGGAGCUCCUGCUGCAUGGUGGGGGUUGGAAAGUUUCGGCGGUUGGGGAUGGACUCGCGGCUUAUCAGCUUGUUGGUGGGGUAGUGGCUUACCAAGGCUUUGACGGGUAGCCGGCCUGAGAGGGUGACCGGCCACAUUGGGACUGAGAUACGGCCCAGACUCCUACGGGAGGCAGCAGUGGGGAAUAUUGCACAAUGGGCGGAAGCCUGAUGCAGAAACGCCGCGUGCGGGAUGACGGCCUUCGGGUUGUAAACCGCUUUCGACUGUGACGAAGAGUGAGUGACGGUAAUGGGUAAAGAAGCACCGGCUAACUACGUG
rnacentral:rRNA from 1 species